CAGCCGCCACGGGAAUACGGAGGAUCCAAGCGUUAUCCGGAUUUAUUGGGUUUAAAGGGUGCGUAGGCGGCCAAUUAAGUCAGGGGUGAAAGACGGUAGCUUAACUAUCGCAGUGCCUUUGAUACUGAUUGGCUUGAAUGUACUUGAGGUAGGCGGAAUGUGACAAGUAGCGGUGAAAUGCAUAGAUAUGUCACAGAACACCAAUUGCGAAGGCAGCUUACUAAAGUAUGAUUGACGCUGAGGCACGAAAGCGUGGGGAUCAAACAGGAUUAGAUACCCGAGUAGUCCCUGUCUCUUAUAC
rnacentral:rRNA from 1 species